AACGAACGCUGGCGGCGCGCCUAAUACAUGCAAGUCGAACGAGAAUGUGUAGCAAUACACAUGUAAAGUGGCGAACGGGUGAGGAUUACAUGGGUAACCUACCCUCGAGUGGGGAAUAACCAGCCGAAAGGUUGGCUAAUACCGCGUACGCUUCCCGGACUGCGGUUCGGGAAGGAAAGCGAUACCUUGGGUAUCGCGCUCUUGGAUGGGCUCAUGCCCUAUCAGCUUGUUGGUGAGGUAACGGCUCACCAAGGCUUCGACGGGUAGCUG
rnacentral:rRNA from 1 species